CGUAGACAAAACAGCUGCACUUAAACACCCAAAGCACACUGGGACUUGUAGUCUUGUCUUGUGCUUCAGCUGUUGUACAAGCACUGAAAGCACUUUGUAGCUGGACAUCAGAUCAGAAAGGAGAGUGAAACACUGAAAGGUGUAGCUUCUAUGGAACAGACACGUGUACUUUCUUAUUUUUGUGCAAUGUGCAAACUGAAAGGCUUUUAUUUUACUGUGUUAUUUUGGUCUUUGUAGCGUCUAGGUGACAUUUACUGUUUUACAUAACCGGUUGUGUAACAGAUGCUCAAACUAGAGCAGUUUACUAAAAAUGCAGUAGUUUGAGGAUCAUCUGAAAUGUUCCCAGUGGAAGUAGACCUAUACAAACAAAACCUUUACUUUUUGUAUUUUAGAUUUUCCCAGUCUGGACCCAACAUACAUAUAAAAAUAUAUAUAUUUUUUAAAACAAAUUCUACGUGCUGUAUAUGCAAAGGUUCCAAGAGGAAUAAUACGUCACAAGUAGUAAAGAAGAUCCUUACAUGAAACCCAGCUGUAGAACUGCACGCGCAGAAGGCAGCACUACUGGUGUAAAGCCCCUUUCAUAGUGGACCACCAUCACAAAGCGCUUUACAAGAUACAAGACUAGGGAACUAUGCAUCAGCUGCAGAGUCACUUACAACAACAUCUCACCCAAAAGACGGAGCACAAGUGACUUGCUCAGGGUCACACGAUGAAUCAGUGGCUGAGAUGGGAUUUGAACCGGGGACCUCCUGGUGACAAGCCAGUUUCUUUAACCGCUGGACCACAAAGCCUCCUAUGAUGUUUUGUUUUAGUUUUUACUUCACGUAUUCAGCCAUUUGAGAUUUCCAGAAACCGUCUUGUAUGACGGAGAAUGUCCCAUCUGUGUGAAAGAAAUCAAUGUGCUCCAAUAUCUGAAGCAGCGUCGGCAGAGUAAAAUAGAGUUUGCAGAUCCCUCCCAGCAGGACUAUGAUGGAAUGCAGUAUGGAGACUGCCAUGGAGGAAAUGCAUGUGAUUGAUGAAAAUGACAAGGUCCAUCAAGGAGUUUCAGUGUUUAACAAAGGACAAUGCAAAACUAAAUGCAAAAAAUGGAAAUCGAUUCAUAUAAAGAAAAGCCCUUUAACUAGUUCUGCAAUCUCCAGGGUUGCAUCAAGAAUCACCUGUUUACAAAUACCAACAUUUAUCUGUACAAAUGUGUUACAUAAACUGGGGUCCACUGUGUUUUUUUAUGUGAUUGUAAUUGUUAUUAGUUAUUUUCUACAUAGUGCAUCAAAUAAAAUAUGUUAUGCUACUUGUGUUGUGUGUAAACCUACAGUAAUAACAUAUCUCAGAUUUAGUAGCUCCUGUGUG